UCAAAAUCAAAUAAAUCAUAAUUUGAUAUAUAAUUAAAUAAUGAGAAAUUAAUUGACGGAUUUCUGGAUUCAUACAUUCUCCGAGUAUCCUGAUCUUUCUGACAAAGCUCUUAAGUUUUUGAUGCCAUUUCCGACAACAUACUUAUGUGAAGCAGGAUUUUCUGCAUUGGUGGCACUCAAGACAAAAUACCAGAAUAAGCUUAACGUCGAGCCUGAUCUCCGCUUGCAACUUUCUUCCCUUCAACCCGACAUGCAGCGCUUAGUAAAUGCUAAACAACACCAACCUUCGCAUUAGUGCUCCAUUUCUCUGCCGGUUUUGACUGCUCGUUUCAACCCCGCUCUGCCUGUUCCCUCUGACGGCUCUUCGGCUCGCUGACGUUCUACCCGCUGCCGACCUCUGCCUGGAUUUGGUUUUCCCGUUUUCGAAAUGUCAACCCGAACCUGUGGGGGCUUGCUGAUCCGUUAUGUAUAUUUUCUGUUUAUUCAAUACAUUACCAGUUUAUUCAAUAAAGACAAAUAACAGCC